rnacentral:rRNA from 1 species
AAUUCGGAUUAAUACCCCAUAAAGAUAUUUGAUGGCAUCAUUAGAUAUUUAAAGUUUCGGCGGUACGGGAUGGGCAUGCGUAACAUUAGCUAGUUGGUAGGGUAACGGCCUACCAAGGCAACGAUGUUUAGGGGUCCUGAGAGGGUGAUCCCCCACACUGGUACUGAGACACGGACCAGACUCCUACGGGAGGCAGCAGUGAGUUGGUCAAUGGGCGCAAGCCUGAACCAGCCAUCCCGCGUGGAGGACGCUAUGCGUUGUAAACUUCUUUUCCAGAGGAAUAAAAUUUUGUACGGGUACAGAACUGAAGGUACUCUGGGAAUAAGCAUCGGCUAACUCCGUGCCAGCAGCCGCGGUAAUACGGAGGAUGCAAGCGUUAUCCGGAUUUAUUGGGUUUAAAGGGUGCGUAGGCGGAUUAAUAAGUCAGUGGUGAAAACCUUCAGCUUAACUGGAGACUUGCCAUUGAUACUGUUAGUCUUGAGUAUGG